CUAGUUCAGCGAUGCUCUCAUCAUGCUGCUUUGCUCAUGAGAGGCAAGACGGCUCUGCACGCGUGCUACGGUGCCCACCCCUCCCCCAGCACCAGCGUCUCGCGCCGGCAGCCUGCCAGGAGGACAACCGCCACCGCCUCUCCCUCCCACGUGACACCACGCGGUAGUUCCCCGCCCCGCGCGCCGCAUUCAAACGCCGGCCUGUUCCGGGGCGUGCGCGCGCUCGGUAGACUCCUCCCCUCCCUCUCUGGGGGGGCUUCUCACCAUGUCAGGCAAGGAGCAGCAGCACCAGACCCCCGGCGCGAGAGCGGGGCCGGCGCGAGACCAGGAGGCCGCGCGGCUGCAGGAGGAGCUAAAGUCUCUUGAGCAGAUGCAUUCAUCCCUGAGAGCCCUCCAUCAAAUGGUUGCCUCCUGUAAUGAGACCAUAAAUUCUCUUGUCCAGAAUAACAACACAUUAACAGACAUGAAUAAAGGCUGGCAGAUUUUCUUCACUGGACAGAGAGGAGAUUUAAAGUAACUUGUUUCAUACUCCUUAUGCUAUAUUUUGAAUGCUUUUUAAAAAAGCACAAGUUGGAAAUCAAAUUAAUUAUCUUGAAGUGGAAUCUUGCUAAACCCUCACGGAAUUGUUUGUCAUUGAUUCAACUGGAUUGAACAUAUUUGCAACUACAGGCUUGGUCAUCAGCCAUAGACAACAACUUGGAGCUGAAAACAUCCCAUCAACUGUAAAGAAGAUAGAUGUUUUUUAAUAUUGGACUUGAAGUGGCUUAACAACGAACACACCUUAAAGUAGUGGACUCACUGCAACCUCAUUUUUGUUAUUUCUGAAGUGUCUUAUUACAUUCUUCAUUUUCUAAUUCCUGUCUUGAGGUCUACUGCUUACAUUUUUGUUUACAUAAAUGACCUGUUUUAUUAAAAUACUCUGGCUGUCAAGGUACUCACUUCUUCAAAUUGAAACUUGCAAUGGAGGAAUUUUACAAGCAGUGGGAAUGCUUCAUAGCUAUGGAGAUUACUGACCCUAGCAGUUGACUUCAGCAUGUUGUCUUCUGUCCACAGGAUAUUAAUACUAAAGGUAAUGCACUAUGAAGGAAUAUUUACUUAUCAGGUGUGCAGUGGUGAUUGUAUCUAUAUACAAUAACAUGCAGCACCAGCCCCAUUCUUCCAACAUUUUAAAGCCAUGAUCAGUAAUUUGUAUUCAUCCAUGCAUAAAUUGCAUGAAAGUUGGCCAGUUUGGUCGAGGGAUGGAGAUAUUAGCUAAACUUGUUCUAAGCAUCACAGCUGUAAAAUGGGUCAGAAAACCAAAGAUGAUAGCCUGUCAAUUUCACUGAUAUUACAUUUCCUAAAGAAUCAGAUAAAACAUAUAAAGAUGGUUCAAGUAUGUAAAACUUUGAUCAAUUUAAAACAUUGCCUUUAAUAUCUCACUCAUGAUGGAUGAUUUUCUAUGGAUGUUUCCCUCCUGUUCUCUGAUAACCUUCACAGGUGGGUAGGUCUUUACUGCAGGGAUUUGAAGCAGCAGAACUGUCAGUCAAGGAAGCAGUGCCUGAGGGGACCUACUCAUCAACUGAUAGUCUCAAAUUAUUUUGCUUCCAAGUAAUCUGAUUUAUGACACCUAUGAGUUGUUUGCAUUCUUUCAGUAGAGAACCAUUAUUUCACCGUCUUUUGGUGUUUUUUCAAGUCUGCUCUCUUCUGCUGAGUUGGUCUCUCCCCUCACAGUGCUAAGUGUCCUCCUCUGCCACAACAGCCAGUGAUGUGUUUGAUUUGCAGAAUGGCUGAUGAGCCCACUUGUGUGUGAAGUGCAACGUCUCCCACAGCAUGACACGCAAUAAGCUUGUUGCAUCCAUUAAAAAACAAACAUCUGAAACUGAGCACAUUUAAUUUUAUAGUGAAUGUUUAGAAGCUUACACUAUAGAUUUACAUGUAGAUUUUAGAUUAAAGAAUUAUGAGUUAAGUGUAUUUCUGACCAAAUGCCCAUAAGUAGCCUGUCUGCCUUCUUUGAUUAAGUGAAAGCUUGUCUUGCAUCUAAGUCAUUGUUUCUUAAACUAGACUUCUCUACUUUUUAAAAAAUCUUCCUCCUUUGAGUUCAUCACUCAGCUUGCAAGAACUCAAUGAGAAAUUAUUGUUGAUUUUAUCACAUCAGGAUAAACUGCAACAACAAAAGCAUCAACUGGUUCACUGGGGUAUGUUCCAACAAUUAAUACUGUAGAUCAGUUAAAGAUUAGGAACCCAGCCAAAUUGUACAGUAAAUUAUCUAUUUUCACAAGACACAUUUAUCAUCUGUUUUGAACCACUCCAUAGUAGCACUGCUUUAGAGCCAAAUCCUGCUGUAAUUAAAGUGAAUGACAACAUUCACUUUGUCUUCAAUGAGAUCAAGAUUUUGGCCUGUAGGAAGUUCAAUUACAUUUAGUACAGUGAUUUCAUAAUCUAGGUACAUCACAAUGUGUGUGGGUUACAGCGUAAAGAUCUACAUAAACCUGCAAUUCCAUUGCUGUUGUGAGUUUCUGUAUUUUAGUCAUCCUUUUCUACUUUAGAAAAUGGAUUCUUUGUCCACAUAAUUAGUCCAGUAGGUAACUGUUGACUUAGCUUCCUAAAAUUAAAAAAAAAAAAAAAAAUUAAGAUCAGAGAUGUAUACAUUUAUAACUGUAUUGAGGCAUUAACCUACAUAUGUAUUAGGCUGCAUAUUCAACAUUUUUGGUUGAAACAGCUUGUGAUAGCAUGUCGUAAUACUUUGUUAUAAAAUUUCUAUUUCUCUAUUGUGCCACCUUGCUUCAUGGGAGUAGUAGUUUGGGUUCCCAUUCCCACCCCCGCCCCAUAGGCUGAGCUUCCUUCCCAGAGUACAUCUCCCAGCAUACAACGUGGUCACCCCUCUGCCCAAGUUGUGUGGUGUGCCUUGAGUCUCACAUCACUUCAAUUGCAUCAUUGGUGAUCUAGUCUGGCCAGGUGGCCUGGGCUAUAACGGAGAAUGGGGAGAUCAGACAACUCCCAUAAAGCCAUGCAACACACUAAGGAAAUGGAAAUCAUUGUUGAACUGACUCUAAAUGAAUUUUUUUUGGAGGUUCAGUUCAGCUAACCAAAAUGAAACAUUUUUGAUUUGGGAAUGUUGAAACGUUUCAUUUUGAUAAAAAAUGAGAAACUCUUUUGCUAUUUCCAAACUGAUUUUUUUUGGAAUUUCCAUUUUGCAAAAGAACUGAUAUUUCAAUUUUUUUGUCCCAGUUUGGGAUAAAAAUGGUAAAGUAUUGGAAUUUCUCAAAGGACAAAAAUUCUGAAUUUUUGCUCCACUUCUGAUGCCCCCAAAUAAAACUAUACUAGUGGCCUAUAUAUGAGCAAAGGGAUUUUUUAAAAUGGGAGAUUGUCAAAGCUAAAGCUGUAGGCUUUACUUUAAAGUAGAAGAUGGCUGUAGAAGCCCAUCCUCUCAUUCUAAUGUUUGGCAGAGAUGUUGGUAACAUUUAAGGUCAGGGUCCUGCAGUCUUUACUCAUACAACUCCUACUGAAGUCAGUUGCAGGGGAGGAGCGAUUCCCUUUGUAAAAACUGGGCACAAUGGGACUAGAGUAGUAGGGGAUUGCUUUGAGAUUUGCACAUAAAACAAGAUGAAAAAUCCCUCUUUCCCAGUAAAUAUUGGUUUUAGUCUCCAAAUUUGCUAUGAUAGUUUUUCACAGGAGAAUUUAGUUUUCUAUUUAUUUUUUUGGGACAAGAUUUAAUAACUUUUAGAUGGAACUUAUUAAAAUAUUCCCUCUUCAAACUCUUUCACUGUUUUCCUCGUAUUUCUGUGGUUCUCUAAAAUUAACAAAAAAAUUCAGGUUUUUCAUUUCACACAUCAACUCCUCUUUAAGCUGAUAUAGGUGUACAGGAAUGGGAAAUAUUAAAGUUAUUGCAGUAAUUUGUCACAGCCAAAUGGUUUUGCCAAAGAAAACUACUGGACACACUGACUAUAUGUCAUCCUCCACACACUGUUACAGAGCUAGAGAAGUAUGAAAAAAGUGUUUUGUACGGUGGGACAGAAAGGAAGAAACGGAAGUGUGGAGAAGACAUGGGGAAACAUGAAUGUUGGGGAGAUAAAUAGCCACAAUAAGGGAAGGCGGAAAUACAGAAGUAUAAGCUUCCACUGAUCUCAAGGGGAGCCCUCUGUGUGCAUUGGAAGGUAGAAUUUGAUGCUAUAAUAGCUCUGUUCUCAGAGUAUUACAAGGAACUUUUAAUCUAUGGGGUAAAAGUGUAUGACAGCUCCUCCAGGCUAUACAGCACUGACCUGAUGGGGGACAAAAGAGUAAAUAAAAAUACAUGCCACAUCUGGCUUUUUCAGAACCACAUCUUCCAUGGUAAGAGAGAGGCACAGUGAUCAUUUCUUGUGGGGCAAAGGCAUUGUUGUUGUAUUUCUGAUCCUCCAAACUGUAAGACACAUCCAAAACAUCUUUAGAAAAGCUUAGUAGAAAUAACCAAUCUAAAUAAUUUCUCAGUGUAUUUAUCUGUAUUACAGUGCUAUGGUAGCAACCUCAUAACUAUGGUUGAGAUAGAUUUUCUGUUCUAAACUUAUGAUUUUUGCUUUUCAUUUUCUUCUUUUGGAUACAGAAUAUCCAAUCUUUUUCUCAUACUCUCUUAACUUUUGGGUGCAUUUUAACUCCAGAAUAGAUAACAUGGAUUUUAUUUGCACAUGAGAACAGUUGACUGGUAAGAAAUAUAUUAACAAGCAUUCCUACAGUCAGAUAAACUCGAUAUCAGCUUGAUUUUAAAAUUUCCAACUUGGUAUGCAUGGCACAUAGUCCUGGAUGAGGAGUAUGUGCUUUGCUUGAAGAGAUCUAGUUUCAAAAUAACAAAAUUAUGGACAUUUUAAAAUGUAUCCUGAGUUUGCACAGCAGGUUUAAUCUUAACUUCAGAAGCAAGCACCAGGGUGUGAUGCUCUGAAUAUUCACCAGCGAGGGUAUUUGAAAGCUCACACCUACAUGUAUUUUAAUGUGUGAUCACUCUUAAGAACUGCAAUGUUUCAAGUAAAAUUUACAAAAGGAAUAAGGGGAUGGAACCCUUAUUAUAUAUCAUAUAACAAAUUUCUAUUUCCAGUCUAAAUUAAAGAGCAUAGGCAAAGCAUGUAGCAUACUCACAUUUCAACAGCUCCUUUAUUUUCAUGUUGUUUCUCCUUUGAAUUGUUUUUCAUUUCUUUAAAAACUAGGUGUGUUUUGGAGAAGCCCCUGUGACAUUGCUCAUGCGGUUUCCUAUCUAGCAAAAUGGGAAAUGUGCUUCCCUCUAUUCCUCUUUCAGUGGAGCUGUUUCCAGGUUGUUUAUGAUGACCUGGAAACAAGUAUUCCAUCUUGGGAUAACAGAAGCACAAGAGGAGGUUACACAAAGCAGCCCUGCAUUUUCAAAGCAGAAUACUGCAAAUUGUUCUUGUAAAAAAAAAAACAAAAAACAAAAAAAAACCCCAAAUGAUAUUGGAAACAAGGCACCUGGCAACAUAAUAUGUUCAAUUCAACCUCAUAUUCAUAUUGUGAUUCAUAUUUGUUAGUUACUAGAACUAGAUGAUCCUCUUCAGACAGAUAGCAGUUUUAGACUCUAAAGGAGACGCUCUCCCUGCUGUUCUGUGACCACUACUUCAGCUGGAAUCAUGCCAGUAGGGUCAUACUCAGACCUGAUAUCCAGUUGAAGUGCCUAUAAAAUCCAGACCAUGAUAUAGCUCAGUGAACCAUGCAGGAGACACUUUGAAAGAAAAGUUAAUGAAAUUUCCUUUUCAAUCCAGCAUCAUAAAUACCUGAAACCAGUGUAGUAAUAAAGACCAUUAUCCAGUGUAAGAUACACCCUUCGUGGACUGUGAUGCUUUUUGGUAUUUUUCAAUAAACAGGCAUCUCCAGUCAUUUGGAACAGAAGAGAAAUUAUUUCCUUUUAAUUUGAAAUAACGUUUCUUAUUUAUGCUAAUAAUCUGUCAUACAUCAAAUGGGAAUGCAAGAGAUGAUUUUUACCAGAAUUAGAUUGGCUUAUUCCCUCAAAGUCUCCCUUCAGCUUUCAUAUAUUUCUAUAGCUUUUAUUAUUAGAAAAUGAAUCUAGUGCCACCUUUUUAUGGCAUUUUAUAAACAUAGGGCCUACUGCCGAUUCCAUUGAGUCAAUGGGAAUUUUACUUUUGACUUCAGUGGAACCAGGAUUGGACCCGGAGGGGGGAGGGGGAAUGUUUCUCUGCCUUGAAGAGUUUUUGCAUUAUUUUAGCCAUAACACAUAACUACAAUGUUACAAUAAGAACUGUUAGAAUUAUUCAUAACAAUAAGACCACCAAACCAGUUUCCUGGGUCGGAGAGUUUUGAUUAGCUCCUUGUGGAACCAGACAUCUUUAGAAUAUAGACCCCUCUGGUUGCUCCGUUGCCCACUGGCCAGCUAGAAGGAGACAGGAGCCAAUUAUCUUCUUGCUCCCCACAAUCUCUAAUUUAAACCUGUGUCCAACAUUUCUUGAGCCUGGUUCCCCAUUUUAGCUGAACUCACCCUCCCUCUCCACAGUUGUAUAGGACCUGUGUUUUUAGGAUGUUGUGGAUCUGACCAAUCACCUGGGUCAGGAAGGAAUUUUUCUUAUCAGGGCCAAAUUGUAGGUGAUUGAGUUUUUUUCGUCUUCCUCAUAGCCUCACGGAGACACAGUUAGGUUAAAUAGGAAUAGGACUUAACAUUAGGAAUUGUAUGACUACUUAGUCCAUUGCAACUUGUAGCUGGUGUCCAGUGCAGAUAAAAGGCUGAAAGGGCCAGCACCCAGAAAUAAGAAACCUGGAAUUUCACUGAUGGACCUCAGGCCUAUGGGGAAAAGGGAGACCUGAAGUCUGCACAGAGCCAGGUCCUUCUUUGAUACGUCUAUCCUCUUCACAAGGAGGAGAGUGAGAGGAUUCAGCAGAGCAAUCUGAAUCCUAGGGGUAGGCAGUGCAGAGUCUUGCCUGUGGUAUGGGCCACAUGAUAGGAGCACUGUAAACCCCACAUUGGAUCCUCUUCUAGGCCUGGAACAGGGAAACAGGGCAGUAACACUGGGGAGGGGUGCUAGGUUUAGUAAAGUUUUGGCCUGCUGUUUAAAAUCCAUCCCAAUGUCUGUCCUCAGCCACCUGAAUGUCCUGAUCGAGUCAUCCAAUGAAUUCUAACAUAUGUAUUAAAAUAGAUUAUUCACUUAUACAUUUUGUCAUUAUUUGACCAGCUCUAUAGAUAAUGGAAUAAUAAUUUGUAUAUGAUUUAUUCUAUACAUUUUCCCCAUUAAUUGCUAAAUUAUUUAUUAGCAAAUAACUUUUUGACCAGUUGUAAUUUCAGACAGACAGACAGGAAACUGCUUAUGGUGAAGUAAGAUACAGACAAACUCCAUUUAUAGUGAAGUAGAAUGAAAGUUCCUAACAGUUUCUGUGCCAUGCAAUGUGCAAACUGCAAUUCCCAUUACACUGAGCCUCUGCUAAGAGUAAAGGUUUUCUAUUAAAAAAAAUCAAAAACAAAAACCCAAUUUCAUUGUAAGUGGGCUUCACUGAUGACUCAAGAUCUUAAUAAAAACUGGCAAGUGUACAAAGGAGAUGUAAAGAGAACUUUCAUGCACAAAAAAGGUGGCAUACUCGAGCCCAACAUUUUAAGAUUGCAGUGUUUAGAGUUAGAACCUAAAACCCAUAUUUAGGCAAUUAAACAAGUGACUUGAUUUUCACAAGUGCUCAGCACCCACAUCUCUACUGAAAAACGGGUUACUUAUUUAGUGAUUUAAGACCCUGAUCCUGCAAACACUGAUGCAUAUUUGCAGUAUCAAGGCUUAAAUAUGGAUUUAGGAACCUAAUUCUAAAACAUCCAGGUCUAGAAAGAUUGGUCCUACUUCUCUUCUGAAACACUUAAUGCUGUUAACAGUAGUAGUAAUCUAUGCAAGUAAUGUCCAAAAGACUCAGAAAAUGUUUUAGUGAAAACCAUCUCUUACACACAAUUGUAUACAACAACAUGUUUUUUAAACUGUUCUGUGUGGAAAGUAUGCUUCUAACAGAAUAUAUGCCUAGGGGAAGUCGCACAAUCUUUAUUUUACAAUACAUUUAUAUUAUUCUACAUCACUGCUCACAUUCUCUUGUGUGGUGGGGACUUACGUGGUGGGGACACAGGUCAUGUUCGCACUAUACCUUUUUAAAGUUGUAUAACUAGACUUGGAAGGAUAAAAUUUUUAUCAGUAAACGUCAGUAAUCAUCAAUUUUAUCAUCCACAGUCCCAAACACAAGAAAAAAUAUUUCCAUCAAUAAUAAUCAAAAUGGGCAAAGUAAGAAAAAUUCUGCUUGAGAACUUAUACGUUUGCUUUAAGAAUAUUUACUCUGUGUAUUUUGACAUGUGAUGUUGACAAUUUGUGUUUUACUGGUUAUAAAAGCUUUAACUUUUUGAAUCUCAAUGUCUAUUGUCAUUAAAUAACCACUGUCUGACCACUC